rnacentral:tRNA from 1 species
GCCUCGGUGGCCUAGCGGGUUAGGGCACCGCCUUGGUAAGGCGGAGGUCGCGGGUUCGAAGCCCGCCCGGGGCUCCA